UCAAAUCUUUAAAGAAUGUAUUUGUUGGUUCAGGGAUGAAGGAAGAAGGGAAAGAAAUUAGAUAAGUAAAAUGAAUGACAGAAUUCAGUGAUUCAUUGAAUGUUUGAACACUCAGUGCUCCGUUAUUUAUUAGGGCGGGCAUGCUUGAUCGACAGUUAUU
rnacentral:rRNA from 1 species